AUACCACGGUGAGGACAUUGUCGUAAAAACUCUUUGAAUCUUUCCCAAGCAUCACAUAAUGCCUCAUCAUCUCCUUGUCGAAAUAAAGCAAUCUCAUUUAUUAUCUU